rnacentral:lncRNA from 1 species
GCUUUAGCUUCUGGAAGAAAUAACUAUCUUGUAGUAUGGCAUUUUUUUCCCCUGUAGCAAGUGUGCAGAACUAUAUGGCAUGCAUUCACUUGUGUUAUUUUCAACAUAGCUUCUUUUUUCUUUUUGAGACAGGGUUUCACUGUUGCCCAGGCUGGAGUGCUGGAGUAUGAUCUUUGCUCACUACAGCCUCAAAUUCAUGAGCUCAAGUGAUCUUCCCACCUUAGCCUCACCAGUACCUGGGACUACAGGCUUACACCACCAUACGCAGCUAAGUCUUUUGUUUGUUUGUUUGUUUUAGAGACAAGGUCUUGAUAUGUUGCCCAGGUUUGUCUUGAGUUUCUGGCCUCAAAUGAUGCUCCCACCUUGGCCUCCCAAAGUGUUAGAAUUACAGAGCCACACCAAACCCGUUCAAUCCUGUGUUGAUUUGAAAGCCGGCUACAGGUUAACCCUAAGCUUUUUCCUGGGUGAUUCUUGA